GCGGCGCGAGGUUCGCCGUAGUUGAGUGCCCACGGCCCUUCCCCCUCCAAAGAGCCUGUAGACAGCGUUCAGUCGUGUUCCCCGCAGGUACUUACACCUGUUGCUCUGCGGGGGCGAGGACGGGCAGGUCUGGCGGCACCUGCCCCAGGGCGCUUGUCGCCCGGCUUACAGAGAGGCGGGUGGUCUCCACUCGCGGCGGGAGCGGUGGAAGGAAUUCCGUCGGCCCAAGGCCGGCACCGCCAUCUUGUCGGUUUUCAAACACCAGGAACCCUAUGAAACUAGGCACCCCUGGACUGCCCACGAAUGGAGAGCCUACUUGUGGUACUCAUAGCAUAGUCAGACUACUUAUGUGAGCUUCUAGAGCAAGUUCUUCUAGUCAACAAAGUGGAAGGUGCAAGACCUUUUAUGUUGGGGGUUCUCUAGUAUUUGGAUGACCCUGAGAGAAACAUCUGAGGAGGAGGGCCUCCGUCCUGCCCAGGGUGAAUUAUGUUGUCCCGGAAGAUAAGUGUGUUCCUGCCUCAGACCAAGGAGCUUUAAAAAAUGUGGAGAUGGGUUUUGCCAGACCUCUGAGAAGUCCUGUCUAAUCACUGGGAAAAGACAGGAUGGACGGUGACCCAUCUCAUUCUGAGGAUAGACCCAUCUCAUGCCAGUUGUUCAAGCAUCCAGACUCACCCACCCAGGCUGACUGAGCUGAUUAAUGGUUUCUCAGAUGUGGAACUGCUUGAUCAAAGACGAAAAACAUUUUAAGAUUCUUAGAACACACUGUCAAAUUGCUUUCCAUAAAGUGUGCAUUCACAGGGUCUUGCUCCCAUUGGAAGAUGUUGGUGUCUAUAAAGGUCCGAAUGAUGGAAGCUUUUUCCACAGCCGAGGCAUGAGUGACGCUCCUUUCCUGAAUGAGUUUCCUAAUGUUCAAUGAAUCUAAUGUUGAGAGAUUCUUCCAGGGUGAAAUUCUCGGGGUUCCUCUCUAUAGAAUGGAUUGAUGCUCUAUAAGUUCUGCUAAGUCUUGGGAUUUCCAAAUUGAUUUUCUGAAGGUUUUUAAUUUUUUUUUUUAAACAGAACCACAGAGGGACAACCUGGGUGGCUCAGUGGUUGACUGUCUGCCUUCGGCCCAGAGUGUGAGCCUGGAGUCCCAGGAUCGAG